AGUGAACGCUGGCGGUAGGCCUAACACAUGCAAGUCGAACGGCAGCACAGUAAGAGCUUGCGCUUACGGGUGGCGAGUGGCGGGCGGGUGAGGGAUACAUCGGAAUCUACUUUUUCGUGGGGGAUAACGUAGGGAAACUUACGCUAAUACCGCAUACGACCUACGGGGGAAAUCAGGGGAUCUUCGGCCCUUGCGCGAGUGAAUGAGCGGAUGUCGGAUUAGCUAGUUGGCGGGGUAAAGGCCCACCAAGGCGACGAUCCGUAGCUGGUCUGAGAGGAUGAUCAGCCACACUGGAACUGAGACACGGUCCAGACUCCUACGGGAGGCAGCAGUGGGGAAUAUUGGACAAUGGGCGCAAGCCUGAUCCAGCCAUACCGCGUGUGUGAAGAAGGUCUUCGGGUUGUAAAGCCCUUUUGUUGGGAAAGAAAAGCAGCAGGUUAAUACCUCGCUGUUCUGACGGUACCCAAAGAAUAAGCACCGGCUAACUUCGUG
rnacentral:rRNA from 1 species